rnacentral:rRNA from 1 species
CAUAUGCUUGUCUCAAAGAUUAAGCCAUGCAUGUCUAAGUUCACACUGUUUCACGGUGAAACCGCGAAUGGCUCAUUAAAUCAGUCGAGGUUCCUUAGAUGACACGAUCCUACUUGGAUAACUGUGGCAAUUCUAGAGCUAAUACAUGCCUAUGAAGCUCCGACCCUCGUGGAAAGAGCGCUUUUAUUAGUUCAAAACCAAUCGCCGGUCGUCUUCGGGCGGCCGACGUCCCCACUGGUGACUCUGGAUAACUUUGUGCUGAUCGCAUGGCCUUCGUGCCGGCGACACAUCUUUCAAAUGUCUGCCCUAUCAAAUGUCGAUGGUACGUGAUAUGCCUACCAUGUUUGUAACGGGUAACGGGGAAUCAGGGUUCGAUUCCGGAGAGGGAGCAUGAGAAACGGCUACCACAUCCAAGGAAGGCAGCAGGCGCGCAACUUACCCACUCCCGGCACGGGGAGGUAGUGACGAAAAAUAACAAUACGGGACUCUCUACGAGGCCCCGUAAUUGGAAUGAGUACACUUUAAACCCUUUAACGAGGAUCUAUUGGAGGGCAAGUCUGGUGCCAGCAGCCGCGGUAAUUCCAGCUCCAAUAGCGUAUAUUAAAGUUGUUGCAGUUAAAAAGCUCGUAGUUGGAUCUCAGGUGCAGGCGGACGGUCCGGCUCGCGCCGGUUCACUGUCCGUAUUUCCUGCCCUACUGGUUUGCCGGCUCUCUCCCGUGGGUGCUCUUCGCUGAGCGUCCCGGGUGGCCGGCGCGUUUACUUUGAAAAAAUUAGAGUGUUCAAAGCAGGCCUCGGAGCCUGAAUAAUGGUGCAUGGAAUAAUGGAAUAGGACCUCGGUUCUAUUUUGUUGGUUUUCGGAACUGGAGGUAAUGAUUAACAGGGACAAACGGGGGCAUUCGUAUGCGGCGUUAGAGGUGAAAUUCUUGGAUCGCCGCAAGACGAGCUACUGCGAAAGCAU